GGUUCCAGAACCACAUAAGUACAUCCCUACCUACCCCUGGCCGACACCCUCCCCCUCAACCCUAUCAGUUCUCCUCCUUUGUUGUACUUUCUUCUGAUCUAAAAUCUAACACAUCAGAAACACAUAUUUUCUCUUCUUCUCUUCAAACCAAGAUCUACAAUGACUUUUUAUCAUCCUCUUGUCUUAGAUCUAUUAUCACAUCAUACAAGUUUUUGAUUUACAUCCAGAUCUCAGGUUGUUUUUCCAAUUCUCCUUGCUGCAAAUCUCUGGUUUGGUUGUUUCCUCCUUGCUUUUAAUUGAAUGUUAUUUUGCUUGCUAGUUGAUUUUCCUUCUUUGUUUUGUUGAAUUCUUUUUAUGUUUUCUUACAUUUUUUCUGACUUGUUGAUUUAGAGCUCGUUUGGAUUCACUAACUGACUAGCAAUUUCUUUGAGAUUACGCAAGAGGAAAUGGUAUUUAGGACCUCUAAUCCCUUGCUUCAACAAGUGAUGUUGGAUUUUUCUUGGUUUCCAACAGAGAUUAACCACCACUUCCUCUGCAAUUAACAGUAACACUUAAGAAAAUAGUAUAACAAGACAUAACCAGUAACUACAGUCUUCCAUAUGCACUACUACCGUACCAAUUAACAACAAAAUUCUCUUCUAGCAGAAAUGGUUUCAUAUAUUUGCUUUAUUUCUAUAUAUCUCAGAGUACUUCUAAGUAAUCAAACUAUCCUAACAGAUCAAAACCAUAUCCUAUACUUGCAAACUCAGACAAGUUCAUACUCCUUUUCCUUGUUGCUCUCUCUUGCUUUCUUCUUUGGUUUUCCUUUCUUCAGCUCCUUUUUCUCCUCUUUUCUUGACUUCUUCUUGUUUUCUGCUUUCUGGUUAAUCCAGCUGGCCUGAUAAGGUGUCAAAACAGACUCAAUAAGUUGACAUGUCAUUAAGCAUUGUUCCAACAUGAAAGGCAAUUUUCCUUACCUGAGUGCCGACUCGGCACUCCCCGAUGUGCUGCGCAUAUAUUGCACCUGAACCAUGUUCGUCAUUCUUUACUUUGAAGCCGCAAGUGUUGCACAUCAACAACAUGAUUGUUAUCUGUGAAAGAAAAAGUUAAAAACCCCGCUGAAGGCUUAUCAGGAUCUUACAGGUCCAAUACUUCGGGAAAAUUUUGAAAAAUAUUGCCAUCCAGAUGGACGACAGUGGCUUCAUAUGGGCAUUCCCCUCCCACAGUUCCUUUUAAACAUUGAUGGAGCAUCCAAGUGAAUAUUGUUGCUUGGAAUUGUUGGAGUGUGUAUAAUUCUGCACUUGACAAUUUCUGGUAUAUACUUGUCUAGGUCGUCAAAGUAUACUGGGAAUUAUGUCCUGCACUCAACUUUAGCCCCAUAUUACCACUUAAUGAAGCCUUCUUUAGCUCCAAGGUAUGUGAGAGUAAUAGUCUAUUUGGCUUUCUUUUUGGAGUCUGUAUAAUUCUGCCCUUGACAAUUUCUGUUAUAUACUUGUAUAGGUAGUCAAAGUAUACUGGGAAUUAUGUCAUGCACUCGACUUUAGCCGCAUAUUACCACUUAAUGAAGCCUUCUUUAGCUCCAAAGUAUGUGAGAGUAAUAGUCUAAUGUAGAUUGUUUCACACAACUCUAUUUGGUUCAUAGAGUUGUGUGAGUUCUUGGGGAUGGAAGGACAGGUGGUUUUAUUUUGGUGUACCACCUUGGUACUUUUUUAAUAAAUUACUUAACAUAUAACAGAAACUGAAACUGAAA